rnacentral:rRNA from 1 species
CAAGUCGUACGAAGAUCUUUGAUCUUAGUGGCGGACGGGUGAGUAACACGUGAGAAUCUGCCCUUAGGAAGAGGAUAACAGCUGGAAACGGUUGCUAAUACUCUAUACGCCGAGAGGUAAAAGGAUUUAUCCACCUUAGGAAGAGCUCGCGUCUGAUUAGCUUGUUGGUAAGGUAAUGGCUUACCAAGGCGACGAUCAGUAGCUGGUUUGAGAGGACGACCAGCCACACUGGGACUGAGACACGGCCCAGACUCCUACGGGAGGCAGCAGUGGGGAAUUUUCCGCAAUGGGCGAAAGCCUGACGGAGCAAUACCGCGUGAGGGAUGAAAGCCUGUGGGUUGUAAACCUCUUUUCUCAAGGAAGAAGUUCUGACGGUACUUGAGGAAUAAGCAUCGGCUAACUCUGUGCCAGCAGCCGCGGUAAUACAGAGGAUGCAAGCGUUAUCCGGAAUCACUGGGCAUAAAGCGUCUGUAGGUUGCUUACCAAGUCUGCUGUUAAAGAUCAGGGCCUAACCCUGGGAAAGCAGUGGAAACUAGUAGGCUUGAGUAUGGUAGAGGUAGAGGGAAUUCCUGGUGUAGCGGUGAAAUGCGUAGAUAUUAGGAAGAACACCAAUGGCGAAAGCACUCUACUGGGCCAUAACUGACACUGAGAGACGACAGCUAGGGGAGCAAAUGGGAUUAGAUACCCCAGUAGUCCUAGCCGUAAACGAUGGAUACUAGGUGUUGCACGUAUUAACCCGUGCAGUAUCGUAGCUAAGGCGUUAAGUAUCCCGCCUGGGAAGUACGCUCGCAAGAGUGAAACUCAAAGGAAUUGACGGG